rfam:Picea glauca, whole genome shotgun sequence.
GCAAUGGUGUCUUUAGACACCACUACUUCUUCUGUAUCAUGUGUUCU